rnacentral:rRNA from 1 species
GACGAACGCUGGCGGCGUGCUUAACACAUGCAAGUCGAACGGAAAGGCCCUGCUUUUGUGGGGUGCUCGAGUGGCGAACGGGUGAGUAACACGUGAGUAACCUGCCCUUGACUUUGGGAUAACUUCAGGAAACUGGGGCUAAUACCGGAUAGGAGCUCCUGCUGCAUGGUGGGGGUUGGAAAGUUUCGGCGGUUGGGGAUGGACUCGCGGCUUAUCAGCUUGUUGGUGGGGUAGUGGCUUACCAAGGCUUUGACGGGUAGCCGGCCUGAGAGGGUGACCGGCCACAUUGGGCGUGGGGACCGGCCCGAACCCCACGGGGGGGGGCGGGGGGGGAUAUUGUACAAGGGGGGGGAGCCCGAGGAGGCGAACCCGCGGGGGGGGAGAGAGCGCUUUGGGUUUGAAACCCGUUUUCCCGGGAGAAGAAGGGGGGGGCGGGUAAUGGGGAAAAAGCCCCCCCCAACCAUGUG